rnacentral:rRNA from 1 species
CACGUAGGGGGCGAGCGUUGUCCGGAUUUAUUGGGCGUAAAGAGCUCGUAGGCGGCUCGGUAAGUCAGGUGUGAAAACUCUAGGCUCAACCUAGAGACGCCACCUGAUACUGCCGUGGCUAGAGUCCGGUAGGGGAGCAUGGAAUUCCUGGUGUAGCGGUGAAAUGCGCAGAUAUCAGGAGGAACACCGAUGGCGAAGGCAGCUCGCUGGGACGGUACUGACGCUGAGACGCGAAAGCGUGGGGAGCAAACAGG